rnacentral:lncRNA from 1 species
GGGAGUUCCUAAGAAGCAAUGGACAAAGACCCAGAGUCUGUGCUGGGGGCCUUGGAAGGCUCUAAACCCUGAGCAGCAGUUUACAGAAGAGGCGAACAAUAUGGAUAUGGAGACAAUCUCUGUAAGUCUUGCUAUGGAAGAAGGAGUUCUCAUGGGGCAAGAACUACUCCAGUUGUUCCCUUAAUGGGGUAGCCAGGGUAGCCUUCAGAGGAGGUAUCGUUUUCGAGACUUGGGAGUGCUCUCCUGUAGGAUCCAAGACUUCUCAUCUUUCCGAUGCGAACUGAAUUAUGCUAGCAUGUCAACCAGGACAUUUCAGAGAAGCAUCGGUGAGCAUAUCUCCUUGUACACAGAGGGAAAAUUCUGAAGUUGCUUAAAUGUGUUGGAAUAAUUUGUUCUCUCUCUAGUAACAGAAACGUGUUAGUAAACC